rnacentral:rRNA from 1 species
UACGGAGGGUGCGAGCGUUAAUCGGAAUGACUGGGCGUAAAGCGUGCGUAGGUGGUAACGUUAGUCGGCCGUGAAAGCCCUGGGCUUAACCUGGGAAUGGCGGUUGAAACGGCGUAACUGGAGUGGGCUAGAGGACUGUGGAACUCCCGGUGUAGCGGUGAAAUGCGUAGAGAUCGGGAAGAACACCGAUGGCGAAGGCAGCGGUCUGGGGCCACACUGACGCUGAGGCGCGAAAGCGUGGGGAGCAAACAGG